GGGGAUUUAGCUCAGUGGUAGAGCGCUUGCCUAGGAAGCGCAAGGCCCUGGGUUCAAUCCCCAGCCCCG
rfam:Rattus norvegicus chromosome 13, whole genome shotgun sequence.